UGAAGAGAAAAUGAACAGCCCUUCUGCUUACCAAGAAAGCCUUGAAUAGAGCAGAUUUUACAUAAGAACAGGGCAGUCUUUUCUUUGUUAACUUGAGCUUACGGUAUCGGCUACUUAUGCUGCCAGAAGGGUGAGCUGCAGCUUGAACCAAGAGCCCCUGCUCUACCGCAAUGUGCUAUAAACCCUGUUUGGACACCAGCUGCUGUUCACCUUGAGUGAACGAACAUAUUUCUGACAGGGAAAGCUCAUCGUAAUGUAGGGCACUGCACUUACCUAGCUGCAACUUCUAAAAUCUUUUGUAUGGGUGUGAAGGAUUCACUUGCACUGCAACACCUACCUAAAACCACUACAGGCGGGGUCAGUGACCAUACCGGUAAACUUCCUGUGCAAGAGGGGAAAAAGUACCUUUGGUUUUGUUGAUGUCCUGUUGAUAAACGGUACCAGUUUGUCUGCAAAUAUUUUGUACCGUGAAAUUUCACUCUAGAAGCACUAAUUUAACACAGGGGAAUUUAACAGCAAGCCUAAAAAUAUAUAGAAAACUUGGGAUGGAAAGACAUCCUGCGGAUAACAGCAUGGCCUGGAGCUUGAAUCACCUUUCUUCAUCAACAAGUUUUCUGGUAACAUUGAUCCUCCUUACAAACACUUUUUUUUGGUGAAGUACAAGUCUAACUUCAGAAAACUGCUUUACAGGACAGUGCUCCACCAGACAGUUCCUGUUUCUAUAAAGGGAGGUGGACAGCAGCAGACAUCGUGGGGCACCUUUACCUAAGGCCAUGCAGAAUUUGCUCUCAAGCAUGCACCUGUUAUCCUUCAUACCUGUUUGUUAGAGCUAAGAGCUCUACCUGAGCUCUUAGCAAGUACCUGAGCAAGUAGUUAUCAGACAGGGUUUUAGAGCUGGGGUGGGGUGAAAAGGCUGGAGAAAGGAAAUUGAGAGGAAAAAAACACAUCUUA